rnacentral:misc_RNA from 1 species
UCCAGCUUAUCGCUGGCGGUCUCCUGCGAGUUCCGCCUUUCGGCAUGGCAACACAGGACAAGGGUUGCGCUCGUUGCGGGACUUAACCCAACAUCUCACGACACGAGCUGACGACAGCCAUGCAGCACCUCGACCGGACUCCCUUGCGGGAUAGCAGUAUUUCUACCACCGUUAACCGGCCGUUCGAGCCCAGGUAAGGUUCUUCGCGUUGCGUCGAAUUGAACCACAUGCUCCACCGCUUGUGCGGGCCCCCGUCAAUUCCUUUGAGUUUCAGCCUUGCGACUGUACUCCCCAGGCGGCAUAUUUAACGCGUUAGCUCCGGCACAGACAGAAUGAACUGCCCACACCAAAUAUGCAUCGUUUAGGGCGUGGACUAC